AUUUAUUUAGCUUUGGUUAUGGAAGUUUCUCGUGAGCGGUCUACAUAGCUAAGUCUUUUGAGGAGCGAUGGGGGUGUCGUGUCUGGUGCUAGUAGUGAGUUUUUGAUGUUAGGUGGAAGCCUGAUCAAGGGUUUAUGAGAUGUAAGUGGUGAAUCCUCAGUGCCAGCAUCCGCGGUUAUUCUGUUUAGCUUGUACUUCUCUUAAGUUGAAAUUCUUUAUAAGUGAGUUAGGGUAGGGGGUAGAAUCUUUAUCUGGUGGAGUUGUGCUUAUAGUGGGUAUAAGGGCUUUUUUGAAAAAAGGAUUAGAGACCCUUGUAUUGAGUAGAGUUAUUUUGUGACUCUUUAGUUUAAACUAAAAAGGCUUGGCAGCUGACGAGAUUCGUCCGGGGGAACGUGUGUCAUAAGAGAUGGUCCGCUUAAUGGUUUACCAAGAUUAGGGGUUAGUGUAUAUCCGGUUCAAUAUUCGUGGUUGGUGCCGCAGAGUGAAUAUAGGGGGUUAUUAAAGCCAGGUCGAUGUGCUGCUAAUGACUUGGGGGAUUAUGCGUUACUGUUUAAAAGAGCCUUCUCCUAGAAUGGAGGGGGGUAGUCAGGACUCGGAAGUAGGUAGGUAAUGUUUAGUCUUAUCGAAGGGGGAUUUAGUUGGGGUACACACCGCCCGUCACCCAAAGCGUUAGCUUUGGUAAGUCGUAACAUGGUAAUGCUGGGGGAACCGGGCGUUAGUUGGUGGAUGGUGUAUUUUAUCUACUUG
rnacentral:rRNA from 1 species